rnacentral:rRNA from 1 species
CCUACGGGUGGCAGCAGUGGGGAAUAUUGGACAAUGGGCGCAAGCCUGAUCCAGCCAUGCCGCGUGAGUGAUGAAGGCCCUAGGGUUGUAAAGCUCUUUCGGCGGGGACGCGGUACCCGCAGAAGAAGCCCCGGCUAACUUCGUGCCAGCAGCCGCGGUAAUACGAAGGGGGCUAGCGUUGUUCGGAAUCACUGGGCGUAAAGGGCGCGUAGGCGGCCGAUCAAGUCGGGGGUGAAAGCCUGUGGCUCAACCACAGAAUUGCCUUCGAUACUGUUUGGCUUGAGACCGGAAGAGGUUAGUGGAACUGCGAGUGUAGAGGUGAAAUUCGUAGAUAUUCGCAAGAACACCAGUGGCGAAGGCGGCUGACUGGUCCGGUCUGACGCUGAGGCGCGAAAGCGUGGGGAGCAAACAGGAUUAGAUACCCUUGUAGUC